CUACAUAAGCAUACAGGCCUCAAACUCGUAGGUGUGCUGCUAGCACAUUUCCCUUCAACAGAGACAUACAAAUGAGCUGACAAAUAUAUCCCCAUGAUUCGAGAAAUAUCUAAGGUAGUGAAAUUUCCUAAAGCUCCAAUUCUCGAUUUUUAGUCAAGUGCCACAUGCAAAGCCCAUCAGCUAGCUUUUUUUUUUUUUUUUUUUUUUGAGCAGAAGUUGUGCUGGGUUUUUCGUUUGGGCCUCACAGCCGUCGCGGGACGUAGGUACUAUUACCGGGACUUUACCGAUAAGAAGACUGAAGCCCAAAGGGUUCAGGAAAGAGAUCACGAGGCCACACAACUCACAACCCUAAUAACCGAGCCCUGCAUCGCUGCCUGAAUGGAGACACCACCUUAAAGAGUUCCCUGCAAGCUCACAAGUGGCCCGAGCGCUUCCGGAGGGACAACGUCCUGAGCAAAUCAAAGCCCACUACAGAACCUGGGUCCCUAACAUGGGCCGGAGUCCUAGCUGCCUGACGCUGCCUCGGGGACUUCCGCGGACAUGGUGCUCCUUCUGCAGAAGAGACGCCGGGAGAAGACAGAUUACCGGGAGGCAAGACCGCCCGCCACCUUCUGCCUGCCCCGCUGCCCGCCGGGCCGGCGGCUACCGCCGCCUUGUGACGACACGGGCCCCGGGCUCCCGCCCGCCGUAGCUCCCGCAGCCCAGGCCCGCCAGGCUCCCGCGCCGCGCCCUUACCUACCUAUCCCCGCGCCUCCGGCCCUGCGACGCCCGAGCACUUCCUCUUUCCCUCAAAGGUUGCGGCUCGCGCCUCACCUCACUUCCGUCCAUGGGCGCACAGUGCUUCCUGGGAAUUGUAGUUGGUCUGUGGCGCUGUGUUCCCCCUCCCCUCCACUUCCCCCGCCUUUCCAGACAACCCUGACCUCCUAUUUAGUCCUCUGCUUGCUUGGCAGUACCUCUGCUUCAGUUUAACCCCAUCCAUCUUUACUUCCUCUGUUCUCUAACCUUGCCUCAGCGCCACCUUUUCUUCUUAGAUCAACCUCUUCAAGCUACCACUGCUCCGGAGAGUUCUACAACAAGCACAGCACCAUUACACAGGAAUUGUGAUUACUUUAGUAAUGUCACCAUUCCUCUUCAUGUUAGCCACAGCAGGGAAGAAGUCAAUAUUUUACUCCCAGACCUUGAUAUUUCCCAUGCAAUAAAUCACUGAUAAAUCA
rnacentral:lncRNA from 1 species